rnacentral:rRNA from 1 species
CAGCCGCCGCGGUAAUACGUAGGGUGCAAGCGUUAAUCGGAAUUACUGGGCGUAAAGCGUGCGCAGGCGGUUAUAUAAGACAGAUGUGAAAUCCCCGGGCUCAACCUGGGAACUGCAUUUGUGACUGUAUAGCUAGAGUACGGCAGAGGGGGGUGGAAUUCCGCGUGUAGCAGUGAAAUUCGUAGAUAUGCGGAGGAACACCGAUGGCGAAGGCAAUCCCCUGGGCCUGUACUGACGCUCAUGCACGAAAGCGUGGGGAGCAAACAGGAUUAGAUACCCCCGUAGUCCCUGUCUCUUAUAC